ensembl:lncRNA
CUGAUCCAAAAUCCUCAAAGCUUCAUAGAACUGAAACAAACAUUUAUUUUUAGCUCCAUUCUGCUGCUGAUACAGACUUUAGGUUUCUGAACAUUACACUUGUUGCUGCCUUUCAUAGUGUGUAACUUGAAGGCCCUGAGUACUUUCUCCCACACUGAAAACACUGGGAUGAUCACAUUAUUUGAACAUUACCUAAUAAGACUGAUUCAGGACAGACAAUUAGUUAUGUUAAACUUUCCUAGCAGUCCUUCACAAACAGGGAACAGUCUGUCUAUUCUCUCCAUCUGUCAGCUGCUGCUGGCUCUUCCUCCUCCUCUUCCUCACACACUGCUGAGUUUGUCCUGGUGGAUCAUCAGGGCUGCAAAGCCUCAUAGAUGAUAUGCAGCAGUGGGUCCCUCAGUCUGUCCUCACUCUGGACACUUGCAGUCGUCACACAUGGAAAUCAAAUGUGUGAUAAGCUGCAGGAUUCAAACACAAGUGUAACUUAUAAACACAUGUUCAUACUUUUAUUCCACAAUCAGAAAGAAACAGAGAGAGAGUGCAGGACAGACAGACAGGUGACAGUCUCAGGUGUACACACUGCUACAAACAGGAGGAUUUAGUGUUUGUGUUAUUACGAGUGCUAAACAAGAAGAGUUCCAGAUGGUGCAGUGGACACAUGUGUGACUGCUGUGAUUAAAGCAUCUUUCUUUCAGCUUAACGAGUGAACCGUCAGCUCGUUCAAACACACGUUAAAGUCCGUUUGGCUCGACACCACCGAACAGAGGCAGCAAUAUAACAUAGCUAACAUUAACAGUGCAGUGAAUCCUGCUGGUGCCGUGAUAUUCAGGACUGCAAACCGAGCAGCAUCACUGACUUUCAGCUUGUUGUGUUUGUGGAUAUAUGACUGACUUUAAUUAUCCAUAAAAUCAUCAGAUUCUCUGUAAGAUUAAGGUCGACUAUCGAACGGCGUAUAAAGGCUUUAAAACAAAGUAAACGCUGAAAGUUCAAACAUCGCUAAUGUCACAUAACUUUGCCGGCAUGUGGCCAACAGUAAUGUUUUAAUGUUUCUCAUUAUUAAACAUUUGCACAUAAAUAAGUGACAUAACAUUCAGUACUUACUUUUGAAAGUUUACUCUUUGGCUGCUCCGCUUCCACUUCUUUGAAGUGUCUCCCAGUCCCAGUGCACUUGUUAGCAUGUUUUGGUUCAUGCAACUGGUCCGUCCGCUUAUUGUCUCCCCAGAAACAUUUCCGUUGUGUUGUGUGUGCUUUUGCAGCGUUUUUCUUUUUGCAGCGUUUUUCUUUUUGCAGCAUUUUUCUUUUUGCAGCGUUUUUCUUUUUUGCAGCCAUUUUUCUUUUUGCAGCAUUUUUCUUUUUGCAGCAUUUUUCUUUUUGCAGCGUUUUUCUUUUUGCAGCGUUUUUCUUUUUGCAGCAUUUUUCUUUUUGCAGCAUUUUUCUUUUCGCAGCGUUUUUCUUUUUGCAGCGUUUUUCUUUUUGCAGCAUUUUUCUUUUUGCAAGUGUUUUCUGAAGUUGCAGUCCGUUUGGCCUCUCAGGGCCACCGUAAAAAAAAAAAGGCUUUAGGAUAUAAGGUUUCCUGGAAUAAUCUACAAAUUGAGCUAAAAUUGUCAGAAACGAGAGAACAGCUCUUUUGGUCAGUGUUCUUGUUUUGGUCAUUUAUUGCACACAACUCAUACAUUUGUGUUCACUGGUCUGUACAGAAUAUAGUAUUUAAACAUUCU